UACGUAGGGGGCGAGCGUUGUCCGAAGUUAUUGGGCGUAAAGCGCGCGCAGGCGGUCCUUUAAGUCUGAUGUGAAAGCCCACGGCUCAACCGUGGAGGGUCAUUGGAAACUGGGGGACUUGAGUACAGAAGAGAAGAGUGGAAUUCCACGUGUAGCGGUGAAAUGCGUAGAGAUGUGGAGGAACACCAGUGGCGAAGGCGACUCUUUGGUCUGUAACUGACGCUGAGGCGCGAAAGCGUGGGGAGCAAACAGG
rnacentral:rRNA from 1 species